rnacentral:rRNA from 1 species
GACGAACGCUGGCGGCGUGCCUAAUACAUGCAAGUAGAACGCUGAAGAGAGGAGCUUGCUCUUCUUGGAUGAGUUGCGAACGGGUGAGUAACGCGUAGGUAACCUGCCUGGUAGCGGGGGAUAACUAUUGGAAACGAUAGCUAAUACCGCAUAACAACAGUUGUUGCAUGACAGCUGUUUAAAAGAUGCAAUUGCAUCACUACCAGAUGGACCUGCGUUGUAUUAGCUAGUUGGUGAGGUAACGGCUCACCAAGGCGACGAUACAUAGCCGACCUGAGAGGGUGAUCGGCCACACUGGGACUGAGACACGGCCCAGACUCCUACGGGAGGCAGCAGUAGGGAAUCUUCGGCAAUGGGGGGAACCCUGACCGAGCAACGCCGCGUGAGUGAAGAAGGUUUUCGGAUCGUAAAGCUCGGUUGUAAGAGAAGAACGGGUGUGAGAGUGGAAAGUUCAUACUGUGACGGUAGCUUACCAGAAAGGGACGGCUAACUACGUG